CCCCGCGUGUGGGAGUGCGGCUGGGGUUAAGGAUGUGGGGUGUCUGGGGUUGUGCUGUGUGAAUGGUGCGUGUGGGCCGAAUGCGAGUGUGGAUGUGAGAGUGUGUGCGUGCGCGAGUGGUGUGCAAGGCGAGUGUGUGUCCGCCCCACGCCCCUCCCCUCGCCUACACCUUGAUCUUAUUUGAUCGGGUCGUGACCCCCGCCCCGCCGGGCAGUCCCGAAAUGAAAAGCAGCCCUCCUGCGAAGCCCCCUUGGCGGGGCGCUGUGCAGCGAGGCCCCCUGGGCGGUGGCGGCGCCGCGGUUCCCGAGGUCUCAGUCCUGCGGGCCCGGUGCUCAGAAGUGAUGAAUUGAUCAGAUAGACGAGGCCUGGGUCUGUCCCCGGCCACUGAUUACCGAGGCGAUUCUGAUCUGA